CACGUCACAUCCGGGUACUAUAUGUUUUGGUGAGUGUAGACCACACGGUCUUAAAACAUCCAGGAGUCGAACAGAGAGGACUGCAGAGAUGAUGCCAGGCUCUGCCCAGCUCAGACCUCCUGACUGACAUCUGUGCUCCAGUAUGACUUUGAAUUCAAAAGACUGCAGAGAUGAAGACAGGCUCUGCCCAGCUCAGACCUCCUGACUGACAUCUGAGGCUCCAGUAUGACUUAGCUAAAAAGAGUGGAAGACUCCGCACUACUGUCAGACGUCCAGUGCAGAACACGUCAUGUCAAAGGUCUUUAAGAGAGGUCAAGUGAUUUUGGCCGAAUAGGAGCAGAAGUUCAUCUGAUGAAGGAGGACCAGAGGUUACAUUUGUACAUCUGAAGUGAAAGUUCAUUUCUGUAAUGAGCACGAGGAAAGACUGUGUUUAGAGUUUUAAUAAUUGCAGUAAGGUUGAUGUUGAUGAUAAAAUCAUUUUAAAUUAUAUUGUAUUGAUGAGACUGUUGAAAUAAACAUUCUAAACUCA